UGAGUACGAGAUGCUACGGCAUCGAAGCAGUCUAUGUCAUACUUCCAAGAAAAGCUUGCAAUGUCAUAAACAAAUAAUGCCUGUACCAUAACCGACACAGGUGGGUAGGUAGAGUAUACUAAGGGGCGCGAGAUAACUCUCUCUAAGGAACUCGGCAAAAUGACUCCGUAACUUCGGGAGAAGGAGUGCCUUAUUUUUAUAAGGUUGCAAUAACAAGAUCCAAGCAACUGUUUACCAAAAACACAGGUCUCCGCUAAGUCGUAAGACGAUGUAUGGGGGCUGACGCCUGCCCAGUGCCAGAAGGUUAAAGAAGUUGGUUAGCAUUAGCGAAGCUGAUAACUGAAGCCCUGGUGAACGGCGGCCGUAACAAUAACGGUCCUAAGGUAGCGAAAUUCCUUGUCGGGUAAGUUCCGACCCGCACGAAAGGCGUAAUGAUUUGGAUACUGUCUCGGAGAGGGGCUCGGUGAAAUAGACUUGUCUGUGAAGAUGCGGACUACCUGCACCUGGACAGAAAGACCCUAUGAAGCUUUACUGUAACUUGAGAUUGAAAUUGGACUUUAUCUGCGCAGUAUAGGUGGGAGACGUUGAAAAUAUUCUUGCGGGAAUAUUGGAGUCAUCAGUGAGAUACCACUCUUAUAAUGUUAGAUUUCUAACUUUGUAUCAUUAUCUGGUCAAAGAACAGUUUCAGGCGGGCAGUUUGACUGGGGCUGUCGCCUCCCAAACGGUAACGGAGGCGCACAAAGGUUUCCUCUGAACGUGUAGAAAUCGUAUCUAGAGUGUAAAGGCAUAAGGAAGCUUGACUGUGAGACCUACAAGUCGAGCAGGGACGAAAGUCGGUCUUAGUGAUCUGACGGUGCUGAGUGGAAAGGCCGUCACUCAACGGAUAAAAGUUACUCUAGGAUAACAGGCUGAUCUCCCCCAAGAGUUCACAUCGACGGGGAGGUUUGGCACCUCGAUGUCGGCUCAUCGCAUCCUGGGGCGGUAGUACGUCCCAAGGGUUGGGCUGUUCGCCCAUGAAAGCGGUACGCGAGCUGGGUUCAGAACGUCGUGAGACAGUUCGGUCCAUAUCCGGUGUAGGCGUUAGAAUAUUGAGAGGAGCCUUCUUUAGUACGAGAGGACCGAGAAGGACAUACCUCUGGUGUACCAGUUAUCGUGCCAACGGUAAACGCUGGGUAGCCAUGUAUGGAGAGGAUAACCGCUGAAAGCAUCUAAGUGGGAAGCCCACCUCAAGAUAAGUAUUCUCAUC
rnacentral:rRNA from 1 species